rnacentral:rRNA from 1 species
GGAGUUAGCCGGUGCUUCUUCUGUGAGUGAUGUCCUUCCUGCCGGCUAUUAACCCGCAGGCCUUCUUCCUCACUGAAAGUGCUUUACAACCCGAAGGCCUUCUUCACACACGCGGCAUGGCUGGAUCAGGGUUGCCCCCAUUGUCCAAUAUUCCCCACUGCUGCCUCCCGUAGGAGUCUGGGCCGUGUCUCAGUCCCAGUGUGGCUGAUCAUCCUCUCAGACCAGCUACGGAUCGUCGCCUUGGUGAGCCGUUACCUCACCAACCAGCUAAUCCGACAUAGGCUCAUCCGAUAGCGCGAGGCCCGAAGGUCCCCCGCUUUCCCCCGUAGGGCGUAUGCGGUAUUAGCCUGGGUUUCCCCAGGUUAUCCCCCACUACCGGGACAGAUUCCUAUGCAUUACUCACCCGUCCGCCGCUCGCCACCAGGGAGCAAGCUCCCCGUGCUGCCGCUCGACUUGCAUGUGUUAGGCCUGCCGCCAGCGUUCAAUCUGAGCCAGGAUCAAACUCUGA